AUUGAACGCUAGCGGGAUGCCUUACACAUGCAAGUCGAACGGCAGCGCGGACUUCGGUCUGGCGGCGAGUGGCGAACGGGUGAGUAAUGUAUCGGAACGUGCCCAGUAGCGGGGGAUAACUACUCGAAAGAGUAGCUAAUACCGCAUACGCCCUACGGGGGAAAGGGGGGGAUCGCAAGACCUCUCACUAUUGGAGCGGCCGAUAUCGGAUUAGCUAGGUGGGGAGGUAAAGGCUCGGCAAGGCGACGAUCCGUAGCUGGUUUGAGAGGACGAGCAGCCACACUAGGACUGAGACACGGCACAGACUCCUACGGGAGGCAGGAGUGGGGAAUUUAGGGCAAUGGGGGCAACCCUGAUCCAGCCAUUCCGCGUGUGCGAUGAAGGCCUUCGGGUUGUAAAGCACUUUUGGCAGGAAAGAAAUCGCACGUAUUAAUACUCUGUGUGGAUGACGGUACCUGCAGAAUAAGCACCGGCUAACUACGUGCCAGCCGCCGCUGUAA
rnacentral:rRNA from 1 species